UUGAGAGCCCUGGAUACUGAACUUCUCUAUUUAUUCACAGAACUGGUAAGACAUAGACAGCAGCAGAGCAAGUUAUACACUGUCCCACCAAUGUGAGAAGGUAACUCGCUCUACACAUCUAUUUAGUCCUUGGCCUUUCUUCCUAGACAACC
rnacentral:sRNA from 1 species